rnacentral:rRNA from 1 species
CGCUGCGGCGUGCCUAAUACAUGCAAGUCGAGCGGACUUUUAAAAGCUUGCUUUUAAAAGUUAGCGGCGGACGGGUGAGUAACACGUGGGCAACCUGCCUGUAAGACUGGGAUAACUCCGGGAAACCGGGGCUAAUACCGGAUAAUUCAUUUCCUCUCAUGAGGGAAUGCUGAAAGACGGUUUCGGCUGUCACUUACAGAUGGGCCCGCGGCGCAUUAGCUAGUUGGUGAGGUAACGGCUCACCAAGGCCACGAUGCGUAGCCGACCUGAGAGGGUGAUCGGCCACACUGGGACUGAGACACGGCCCAGACUCCUACGGGAGGCAGCAGUAGGGAAUCUUCCGCAAUGGACGAAAGUCUGACGGAGCAACGCCGCGUGAGCGAUGAAGGCCUUCGGGUCGUAAAGCUCUGUUGUUAGGGAAGAACAAGUACCGGAGUAACUGCCGGUACCUUGACGGUACCUAACCAGAAAGCCACGGC